GAAAGCCUUGUCUCAAUGUCCAGGCAGACUGCGUGCUUGCACGUAAGACUACCUGGACAUUAGAGACGCUAACCCGUAUGAGCACGGAGGGCGAUAGCUCGGAAUGCGAAUACGGGUGAGAAUUGCGGGAGUGCGGAACAAUUCUCAUGGCUUUC
rnacentral:sRNA from 1 species